GCUGGGUGUGGGUGUGGUGGUGCACACCUGUAAUCCCAGCAACUCAGGAGGCUGAGGCAAGAGGAUCAAGUUCAGCAAGUUCAACACCAGCCUCAGUAACUCAGUGAGACCCUGUCUUUU
rnacentral:sRNA from 1 species